rnacentral:rRNA from 1 species
AGAGCGAACGCUGGCGGCAGGCCUAACACAUGCAAGUCGAGCGCCCCGCAAGGGGAGCGGCAGACGGGAGAGUAACACGUGGGAACGUACCCUUCAGUUCGGAACAACCCAGGGAAACUUGGGCUGAUACCGGAUACGUCCGUAAGGAGAAAGAUUUAUCGCUGAAGGAUCGGCCCGCGUCUGAUUAGCUUGUUGGUGAGGUAACGGCUCACCAAGGCUACGAUCAGUAGCUGGUCUGAGAGGAUGAUCAGCCUCACUGGGACUGAGACACGGCCCAGACUCCUACGGGAGGCAGCAGUGGGGAAUAUUGGACAAUGGGCGCAAGCCUGAUCCAGCCAUGCCGCGUGGGUGAUGAAGGCCCUAGGGUUGUAAAGCCCUUUCGGCGGGGAAGAUAAUGACGGUACCCGCAGAAGAAGCCCCGGCUAACUUCGUGCCAGCAGCCGC